AAACUACUCCCUUCGUCCCAAAAUAAGUGACUCAAAAAUGACUCAACAUUGUACUAAAGUUAGUGUAAAUUGGAGUCACUUUUGAAUCACUUAUUUUGGGACGGAGGGAGUAAUAA
rfam:Hordeum vulgare subsp. vulgare, WGS project CAJW01000000 data, contig: morex_contig_1769665